GGUGGCUCAGUGGUAGAGUGCACUUGCCUUGCAUGCAUGAGGCCCUGGGUUCAAUUCCUCAGCACCA
rfam:Dipodomys ordii contig_39631, whole genome shotgun sequence.